GUCGGGCACGGUGGUGCAUUCCUGUAGUCCCAGCUACUCAGGAGGCUGAGGCUGGAGGAUCUUGAGUCCAGGAGCUCUGAGCUGUAGUAUGCUAUGCCGAUCGGGUGUCUGCACUAAGUUUGGCAACAAUAUGGUGACCUCCUGGGAGCGGGAAACACCAGGUUGCCUAAGGAGGGGUGAACCCGCCCAGGUCGGAAACAGAGCAGGUCAUAACUCCUGCGCUGAUCAGUAGUGGGAUCAUGCCUGUGAAUAGCCACUGUACUCCAGCCUGGGCAACAUAGCGAGACCCCAUCUCU
rnacentral:SRP_RNA from 1 species